UUCUUUCUUGGGAUGUUCUGGAACAGACUGGACUAUACUGUCUUCAGCAAACAGGGCGUAUCGAGGCAAACUACUCUGCUCCAUUGAAUUCCUUCCAUAGGUCUCAUAGAAGAGCAGAGUACAACCUUUUAGUGUUACCCAGUACUGCUUCCACUUUCGCCGUGUGACCAGCUCCAGCUUCUUCUCUUUCUGCAGGGUCACCAGUGGUUUGAAGAACAGCCACCCUGCUUUGCGCACCACUCCUUGCUCCUUCUCGUACAACAAAUCCAGUUGCUCCAAGGAGCUGAGAGACUCACUGCUGGAGUCCUCCGUUUCUGAUGAGGUCUCAGUGUUCUCCAGGUUUGUCCUGCUCAUCUCCAG
rnacentral:lncRNA from 1 species